rnacentral:rRNA from 1 species
GGGAGUAAUGUCUGGGAAACUGCCUGAUGGAGGGGGAUAACUACUGGAAACGGUAGCUAAUACCGCAUAACGUCGCAAGACCAAAGUGGGGGACCUUCGGGCCUCAUGCCAUCAGAUGUGCCCAGAUGGGAUUAGCUAGUAGGUGGGGUAACGGCUCACCUAGGCGACGAUCCCUAGCUGGUCUGAGAGGAUGACCAGCCACACUGGAACUGAGACACGGUCCAG